rnacentral:rRNA from 1 species
GACGAACGCUGGCGGCGUGCUUAACACAUGCAAGUCGAACGGUGAUCCAUCAGCUUGCUGGUGGUGAUCAGUGGCGAACGGGUGAGUAACACGUGAGUAACCUGCCCCUGACUCUGGAAUAACCCCGGGAAACCGGGGCUAAUACCGGAUAUGACAUCAUCCCGCAUGGGUGUGGUGUGGGAAGUUUUUUCGGUUGGGGAUGGGCUCGCGGCCUAUCAGCUUGUUGGUGAGGUAGUGGCUCACCGAGGCGACGACGGGUAGCCGGCCUGAGAGGGCGACCGGCCACACUGGGACUGAGACACGGCCCAGACUCCUACGGGGGGCAGCAGUGGGGAAUAUUGCACAAUGGGCGGAAGCCUGAUGCAGCGACGCCGCGUGAGGGAUGACGGCCUUCGGGUUGUAAACCUCUUUCAGCUCUGAAGAAGCGAAAGUGACGGUAGGAGCAGAAGAAGCACCGGCUAACUACGUGCCAGCCGCCGCCGUAAUAC